rnacentral:rRNA from 1 species
UACGUAGGAGACGAGCGUUGUCCGGAAUUACUGGGCGUAAAGCGCGCGUAGGCGGCCCGGUAAGUCCGCUCUGAAAGUCCAGGGCUCAACCCUGGAAAGCGGGUGGAUACUGCCGGGCUAGAAUCCGGAAGAGGCGAGUGGAAUUCCUGGUGUAGCGGUGGAAUGCGCAGAUAUCAGGAGGAACACCGGUGGCGAAGGCGGGUCUCUGGGCAGUAACUGACGCUGAGGAGCGAAAGCGUGGGGAGCGAACAGG